GCCAAACCCACCUAGGAGGGGAAGCUCUCGCUUCUCUCUCCUUCAUCCCACACAGACUCACCUCCAUCUUCUCCCCUAUCCUUCUCGUGGUAGCUCUUUGCCCCGGCGGUGACAGGCUAUACACUCAUUUGAUGCUCAAACAGAUGGAGAGUUGAAUCUAUCAAUUGAUGAUUAUGUUGUGGUUCGUGAGGUGGGCCCUAAUGGAUGGUCUGGAGGGGAAUGCAAGGGCAAGGCCGGGUGGUUUCCAUCUGCGUAUAUAGAGAGGCAGGUAAAGCACCAGUGAGCAAAUUAUUGUAAGCAAGUUCAUUCCCACGAUCUUCAAGUCUUGUAUAUGAAACUCGGUAUAAUCUGUAUAUACAUAUGCUUUUGGCUGUAUAAUAGUUUCGAGAUGGAUGAAAUGCUUGGCUCUUUAUGGCUAGCAUUGUGCUCUGCAGAUUUAA